rnacentral:rRNA from 1 species
GGCCUAUCAGCUAGUUGGCGGGGUAAUGGCCCACCAAGGCGACGACGGGUAGCUGGUCUGAGAGGAUGGCCAGCCACAUUGGGACUGAGAGACGGCCCAGACUCCUACGGGAGGCAGCAGUGGGGAAUCUUGCGCAAUGGUCGAAAGACUGACGCAGCGACGCCGCGUGCGGGAGGAAGCUCUUCGGGGUGUAAACCGCUGUUGCCCGGGACGAACGACUGGUUUCGACCAGUGUGACGGUACCGGGUGAGGAAGCGCCGGCUAACUCUGUGCCAGCAGCCGCGGUAAUACAGAGGGCGCGAGCAUUGUCCGGAAUCACUGGGCGUAAAGGGCGCGUAGGUGGCGGCGUAAGGCCGCGGUGAAAGUUCGGGGCUCAACCCUGAAUCGGCCGCGGCGACUGCGUCGCUUGGGCACGGUAGAGGCAGAUGGAAUUCCGGGUGUAGCGGUGGAAUGCGUAGAGAUCCGGAAGAACACCGGUGGCGAAGGCGGUCUGCUGG